UACGGAGGGUGCGAGCGUUGUCCGGAAUCACUGGGCGUAAAGGGCGCGUAGGCGGCUUGGUAAGGGGGCGGUGAAAGCCCGGGGCUCAACCCCGGGUCUGCCGGACCGACUGCCGAGCUUGAGCACACUAGGGGCAGGUGGAAUUCCGGGUGUAGCGGUGGAAUGCGUAGAGAUCCGGAAGAACACCGGUGGCGAAGGCGGCCUGCCGGGGUGUGGCUGACGCUGAGGCGCGACAGCGUGGGGAGCAAACAGGAUUAGAUACCCUGGUAGUCCACGCCGUAAACGAUGGGCACUAGGUGCUCGGGGGAGCGACCCCUUGGGUGCCGGCGCUAACGCAUUAAGUGCCCCGCCUGGGGAGUACGGCCGCAAGGCUGAA
rnacentral:rRNA from 1 species